GCUGGGAGGUCUGAAGGGUUUGGUCACAGAGACCCCCUUGGGACUGUCAUCUGAUGUGCUGACGUUACCUCUGAGACCGUUUUCUCUUCCAGCUUGGAACUCCAGAACCCUAUCUUGUUGAGCCAGACAUGCUAGCCUGCUGCC